UACGUAGGGACCGAGCGUUGUCCGGAAUCAUUGGGCGUAAAGAGCUUGUAGGUGGCUCGUUGCGUCGGGAGUGAAAACCUGCGGCUUAACCGCAGGCCUGCUUCCGAUACGGGCGAGCUAGAGUUCGGCAGGGGAGACUGGAAUUCCUGGUGUAGCGGUGGAAUGCGCAGAUAUCAGGAGGAACACCGGUGGCGAAGGCGGGUCUCUGGGCCGAUACUGACGCUGAGGAGCGAAAGCGUGGGAAGCGAACAGG
rnacentral:rRNA from 1 species